AUCCUGGCUUGUUUGAGGAAAAGACGUUCCCAACUAACAGCUCCACCCGUGCUUGCUUGGAAUAGGAGUAAUGAUGCCUCCACACACAGGAGAGAUGAGGCAGGCCCCGAGGGGUACCCGAGGGCUCUCUGCAGAGCAGGUGGCUUCUGUGUGGGCCACAUCCUGAUGGCAGAGGCACCCCAACACAGCUGCAGCGAUGGGCCAUGCCUGAGGUUAGCAGGGGUGUCGGAGGGGCCAGUGUGGGCCACUGGAGCCUUCAGUGGCUCCAUCCAGGAUGGUGGGCAGUCCGAGGUGGGCAGGCGAUGGGCAGAGGGAACAUCCGAGUGGAUCCUUCCCCUGAGAGCCGUGCAGUGCGCCCCGCCUGCCUCGCCUUGGCCUGCGGGGAGACAACAGCGAUGGAGGCAGGGCCGGUGGCCACGCACGGGGAAUUCUGCGAGUCCUGCUACAGCCGCUUCCUCCAGGCCCUAUGGUGCAGGUGGGACAUGCAUCAGCUGUUCACAGGGGUCUAUGGGCAGCCACCAGCAGCCGAGGGGAGAGGCAGCCAGGUGGUGCAGCAUUUCCUUCUGUUCCAUCCUGAUUGGCACGUCCAGUGCAUUUUGGAUUUUUGGAUAAAAUUACUUUUAAUCAAAACAAUAGAAAGUCAGUCCAGAAUUCUCCUUGCCAUGAGUAGUUGUCGGAUGUUGCAUGAGGCCUCGGUGCCCGAUCGCGCUGCUCCAGGAGGGACCUGCUCUCUGCCGGCCUCCUCCCUCCGCACCUGCCCCUCUGCUCCUUCGUGAAGCCCAGUGUUCCUAGCUUUUACUCUGUUCCCUGCGAGGUCUGGAAAACCGUGCCCAGGGUGCUUGCUUGGCAUCUUUGCAUGUUUCUGGCUUCCUUUCUCUUAGCUGGAAGCAGGGCUGGGUGAGUGGUAUGUGCACGUCCUCACAUAAUGUACACACGUGCCCAGGCACACACAUCACAUGAAUACACUUGCCUACCAGAGGACCCCCUUGUCCCCCAGCACAAUCUGCCCUGUGGGUUUUUUCCUCCAUGCUUCUUUAGGUUGGCAACCACAACUCACAUCCACCCACUCAUCCCACAAAUGGUCACUGAACCCUUAGCAUGUCCCAGCCACCUGUCUGAGGGUGGCACCACAGGCAUGCUGAGGUGUGGGGCUGGAGGAACCCCGGACAGAACAAGGAGUAGGGGAAUGACAGACAGAACAAGCCAGCCAUGUGGAGCGCAUGGGGCCGGGACACCUACCUCCUC
rnacentral:lncRNA from 1 species